rnacentral:rRNA from 1 species
AUUGAACGCUGGCGGCAGGCCUAACACAUGCAAGUCGGGCGAGCGGCGGACGGGUGAGUAAUGUAUGGGGACCGCCUGAUGGCGGGGGCUAACUACUGGAAACGGUAGCUAAUACCGCAUCCCAUCAGAUAACCCAUAUGGGAUUAGCUUGUAGGUGAGGUAACGGCUCACCUAGGCGACGAUCCCUAGCUGGUCUGAGAGGAUGAUAAGCCAAACUGGGACUGAGACACGGCCCAGACUCCUACGGAGGCAGCAGUAGGAAAGAUUGCGCAAUGGGGGCGACCCUGACGCAGCCAUGCCGCGUGAAUGAAGAAGGCCGUCGGGUUGUAAAGUUCUUUCGGUAGCGAGGCGUUAACUACAGAAGAAGCACCGGCUAACACCGGGCCAGGAGCGGCGGUAAUAC